UUAAGCGACUAAGCGUACACGGUGGAUGCCCUGGCAGUCAGAGGCGAUGAAGGACGUGCUAAUCUGCGAUAAGCGUCGGUAAGGUGAUAUGAACCGUUAUAACCGGCGAUUUCCGAAUGGGGAAACCCAGUGUGUUUCGACACACUAUCAUUAACUGAAUCCAUAGGUUAAUGAGGCGAACCGGGGGAACUGAAACAUCUAAGUACCCCGAGGAAAAGAAAUCAACCGAGAUUCCCCCAGUAGCGGCGAGCGAACGGGGAGCAGCCCAGAGCCUGAAUCAGUGUGUGUGUUAGUGGAAGCGUCUGGAAAGGCGCGCGAUACAGGGUGACAGCCCCGUACACAAAAAUGCACAUGCUGUGAGCUCGAUGAGUAGGGCGGGACACGUGGUAUCCUGUCUGAAUAUGGGGGGACCAUCCUCCAAGGCUAAAUACUCCUGACUGACCGAUAGUGAACCAGUACCGUGAGGGAAAGGCGAAAAGAACCCCGGCGAGGGGAGUGAAAAAGAACCUGAAACCGUGUACGUACAAGCAGUGGGAGCACGCUUAGGCGUGUGACUGCGUACCUUUUGUAUAAUGGGUCAGCGACUUAUAUUCUGUAGCAAGGUUAACCGAAUAGGGGAGCCGAAGGGAAACCGAGUCUUAACUGGGCGUUAAGUUGCAGGGUAUAGACCCGAAACCCGGUGAUCUAGCCAUGGGCAGGUUGAAGGUUGGGUAACACUAACUGGAGGACCGAACCGACUAAUGUUGAAAAAUUAGCGGAUGACUUGUGGCUGGGGGUGAAAGGCCAAUCAAACCGGGAGAUAGCUGGUUCUCCCCGAAAGCUAUUUAGGUAGCGCCUCGUGAAUUCAUCUCCGGGGGUAGAGCACUGUUUCGGCAAGGGGGUCAUCCCGACUUACCAACCCGAUGCAAACUGCGAAUACCGGAGAAUGUUAUCACGGGAGACACACGGCGGGUGCUAACGUCCGUCGUGAAGAGGGAAACAACCCAGACCGCCAGCUAAGGUCCCAAAGUCAUGGUUAAGUGGGAAACGAUGUGGGAAGGCCCAGACAGCCAGGAUGUUGGCUUAGAAGCAGCCAUCAUUUAAAGAAAGCGUAAUAGCUCACUGGUCGAGUCGGCCUGCGCGGAAGAUGUAACGGGGCUAAACCAUGCACCGAAGCUGCGGCAGCGACGCUUAUGCGUUGUUGGGUAGGGGAGCGUUCUGUAAGCCUGCGAAGGUGUGCUGUGAGGCAUGCUGGAGGUAUCAGAAGUGCGAAUGCUGACAUAAGUAACGAUAAAGCGGGUGAAAAGCCCGCUCGCCGGAAGACCAAGGGUUCCUGUCCAACGUUAAUCGGGGCAGGGUGAGUCGACCCCUAAGGCGAGGCCGAAAGGCGUAGUCGAUGGGAAACAGGUUAAUAUUCCUGUACUUGGUGUUACUGCGAAGGGGGGACGGAGAAGGCUAUGUUGGCCGGGCGACGGUUGUCCCGGUUUAAGCGUGUAGGCUGGUUUUCCAGGCAAAUCCGGAAAAUCAAGGCUGAGGCGUGAUGACGAGGCACUACGGUGCUGAAGCAACAAAUGCCCUGCUUCCAGGAAAAGCCUCUAAGCAUCAGGUAACAUCAAAUCGUACCCCAAACCGACACAGGUGGUCAGGUAGAGAAUACCAAGGCGCUUGAGAGAACUCGGGUGAAGGAACUAGGCAAAAUGGUGCCGUAACUUCGGGAGAAGGCACGCUGAUAUGUAGGUGAAGUCCCUCGCGGAUGGAGCUGAAAUCAGUCGAAGAUACCAGCUGGCUGCAACUGUUUAUUAAAAACACAGCACUGUGCAAACACGAAAGUGGACGUAUACGGUGUGACGCCUGCCCGGUGCCGGAAGGUUAAUUGAUGGGGUUAGCGGUAACGCGAAGCUCUUGAUCGAAGCCCCGGUAAACGGCGGCCGUAACUAUAACGGUCCUAAGGUAGCGAAAUUCCUUGUCGGGUAAGUUCCGACCUGCACGAAUGGCGUAAUGAUGGCCAGGCUGUCUCCACCCGAGACUCAGUGAAAUUGAACUCGCUGUGAAGAUGCAGUGUACCCGCGGCAAGACGGAAAGACCCCGUGAACCUUUACUAUAGCUUGACACUGAACAUUGAGCCUUGAUGUGUAGGAUAGGUGGGAGGCUUUGAAGUGUGGACGCCAGUCUGCAUGGAGCCGACCUUGAAAUACCACCCUUUAAUGUUUGAUGUUCUAACGUUGACCCGUGAUCCGGGUUGCGGACAGUGUCUGGUGGGUAGUUUGACUGGGGCGGUCUCCUCCUAAAGAGUAACGGAGGAGCACGAAGGUUGGCUAAUCCUGGUCGGACAUCAGGAGGUUAGUGCAAUGGCAUAAGCCAGCUUGACUGCGAGCGUGACGGCGCGAGCAGGUGCGAAAGCAGGUCAUAGUGAUCCGGUGGUUCUGAAUGGAAGGGCCAUCGCUCAACGGAUAAAAGGUACUCCGGGGAUAACAGGCUGAUACCGCCCAAGAGUUCAUAUCGACGGCGGUGUUUGGCACCUCGAUGUCGGCUCAUCACAUCCUGGGGCUGAAGUAGGUCCCAAGGGUAUGGCUGUUCGCCAUUUAAAGUGGUACGCGAGCUGGGUUUAGAACGUCGUGAGACAGUUCGGUCCCUAUCUGCCGUGGGCGCUGGAGAACUGAGGGGGGCUGCUCCUAGUACGAGAGGACCGGAGUGGACGCAUCACUGGUGUUCGGGUUGUCAUGCCAAUGGCACUGCCCGGUAGCUAAAUGCGGAAGAGAUAAGUGCUGAAAGCAUCUAAGCACGAAACUUGCCCCGAGAUGAGUUCUCCCUGACCCUUUAAGGGUCCUGAAGGAACGUUGAAGACGACGACGUUGAUAGGCCGGGUGUGUAAGCGCAGCGAUGCGUUGAGCUAACCGGUACUAAUGAACCGUGAGGCUUAACCU
rnacentral:rRNA from 1 species